rnacentral:lncRNA from 1 species
CUGGGACAAUGGCCAGAGAGGGCUUGGAAGCUCUGGGCUCCUUCCCCAUGCUUUGAACCACACAUACCUUCCAUCUGGCUGUUCCUUUUCUUUCUUUCUGUUUCUUUUUUUUUUUUUUUUGAGACAAAGUCUCACUCUGUCACCCAGGUUAAAGUGCAGUGGAAUGGUCUCAGCUCCCUGCAACCCCUGCUGCCUCCUGGAUUCAAGUGAUUCUCCUGCCUCAGCCUCCCAAGUAACUGGGAUUACAGCUGAGCAAGUACCAGGUAAAAAUACCAAAGAGGAAACAGAGACUUUGCCUGAGACACCUUCCCCAGUCAAUUGGAAAAAAAAAGACAAGGGAUAUGCUACAGCUAUGGAAACCUGUCGUAGGUAUGGCGACAUCAUGGCAGAGGAAAUGCCUUAA